GCACAACGCGAAGAACCUUACCUACCCUUGACAUGUCUGGAAUCCUGAAGAGAUUUAGGAGUGCUCGCAAGAGAACCGGAACACAGGUGCUGCAUGGCUGUCGUCAGCUCGUGUCGUGAGAUGUUGGGUUAAGUCCCGCAACGAGCGCAACCCUUGUCAUUAGUUGCUACGAAAGGGCACUCUAAUGAGACUGCCGGUGACAAACCGGAGGAAGGUGGGGAUGACGUCAAGUCCUCAUGGCCCUUAUGGGUAGGGCUUCACACGUCAUGCAAUGGUCGGGACAGAGGGUCGCCAACCCGCGAGGGGGAGCCAAUCCCAGAAACCCGAUCGUAGUCCGGAUCGCAGUCUGCAACUCGACUGCGUGAAGUCGGAAUCGCUAGUAAUCGCGGAUCAGCAUGUCGCGGUGAAUACGUUCCCGGGUCUUGUACACACCG
rnacentral:rRNA from 1 species